UAAGGAAUAUUGCACAAUGGGGAAACCCUGAUGCAGCAACGCCGCGUGAGUGGCGAAGGCCUUCGGGUUGUAAAACUCUUUUCUGAGGGAUGAGGAAGGACAGUACCUUAGGAAUAAGUCUCGGCUAACUACGUGCCAGCAGCCGCGGUAAAACGUAGGAGGCGAGCGUUAUCCGGAUUUACUGGGCGUAAAGGGCAAGUAGGCGGUGGUUCAAGUUGGGCGUGACAGAUCCUGGCUUAACUGGGAGAGGUCGUUCAAAACUGGAUCACUAGAGGGCAGGAGAGGGGAGCGGAAUUCCUAGUGUAGCGGUGGAAUGCUCAGAUAUUAGGAAGAACACCAGUGGCGAAAGCGGCUUUCUGGCCUGCACCUGACGCUGAAGGGCGGAAGCUAGGGGGGCGAACGG
rnacentral:rRNA from 1 species